AUGGGGAGGAAAUUGCCCGCUCUUGCUCCGGCCGGGGCGGCGGCGGCGGGAAGGAAGCGAAAAGGUGCCACCUUGACAACGCUCGCCGCGUGCAAGCGCCCUGCGCGGGCGCAAGUAAUCGGCGGAUGGGCGUCCCUGCCCACCGACAUAGUUGGCCUCAUCACCUGCCGGCUCCUGGCCGGCGACGGCGACGGCGACGUGGUUGAUUACAUCGCCUUCCGCGCCGUCUGCUCCGGCUGGCGCGCCUGCACGCCCACGGCGCGCGACCCCACACUGCGGGAUCCCCGCCUACGCCCGCGCGGCUGGGUCGCUCUCUGUGACGGCGACGCCGUCCGCCCAGACGAUGCCUGCGAGAUCGUCUUCUUCCAUACGCGCACGGCCAGGCGCCUCCGCGUCCUCCUCCCGGAGCUCCGGCAACACAGGAUCGUUGGCUUCACCGACGGACUCCUCAUCCUCGUGCACAAGCGCACCACCGAGGUCCGCGUGCUGCAUCCCUUCACGCGCGUCGUGGUCGAUUUCCCGCCCCUCGCCCCGGUGUACCACGCGGUAGUCAGGCGGAUGAAGCUGCUCGACAUGAGCGCCGCGAUAUGCAGCAGCGCGUCCUCGGCGACCUCCAUUGCGGUGGUGGUCUGGUUCCUCUGCACAAGUGUGGUGCUCGGCGCCGACCCGGGUUCAGAUUGGGAGCUUCUCCACCGAGGUCUUUAUGUUUGGAAUACCUUGUCCUUCCAAGGAAAGCUCUAUGCCACCACCCUGUCUUCACACGAGAUCCUGCAGCUAUACCCUCCUCCCAGACAGGAGGAACCCCUCGAGAAUUCUGUGGUGGUUGCUCAUGCUCCAUAUUUUGCUGAUCGCAUGUAUAGCGAUUUUCUACUCGUGGAGUCUGGUGGAAGGAUGCUGCUCGUCGUCCGGCACCCAGCUCCUGGUACAAAGGAGAUGGACUGGUCGGGACUAGAAGUCUUCAGGCUCUAUGAAGUGCAUCUGAGCAGCCAGCAGUGUAAGCUUAUCCCGGUGAACACCUUAGGCGACCGCUCGCUGUUUCUCAGCGGUGACCGAUGCCUGUCUGUUUCGGCCAGGGACCUCCCAACCUUGAGCAGCAACUCCAUCUACUUCAGUCUACCAUGGGACCCCAUUGUGUUGCAUUCGCUGGGGACUGGUUUGUCCGAGCGCUUAGCCGAGUCCUGCAAAAUACAUGAUGGGAAGGACAGGAUACGCCCAUCUGUGCGCCCCUUCACCAUUGCUGAUCAUCUCAUGACCUACUGCCAUACUCCUGAGUGGUCUAAAGGACUCAUGUUCCACGAGUACCAACACAUACCUGAAUCUUUCAAGGAACUGAUUAAGAACAUCCGGGCACAGGAUGCGCAAGUGCGGAUUCCACGUAUUGGUUGA
rnacentral:rRNA from 1 species